rnacentral:rRNA from 3 species
UACGGAGGGUGCAAGCGUUAAUCGGAAUUACUGGGCGUAAAGCGCACGUAGGUGGUUUGUUAAGCCAGCUGUGAAAUCCCCGGGCUCAACCUGGGCACUGCAGUUGGAACUGGCAAGCUAGAGUAGGGUAGAGGGGUGUGGAAUUCCAGGUGUAGCGGUGAAAUGCGUAGAUAUCUGGAGGAACAUCAGUGGCGAAGGCGACACCCUGGACUCAUACUGACACUGAGGUGCGAAAGCGUGGGGAGCAAACAGG